AGCAUACAAGAUUUCAGUUAUGUCCUUCCCACGGGGAUAAACCAAUUUGAAUAUGGCACAGGUGCAACUCAAAGCUUUCAUGACAACACAACAUUUGGUUCCUUGGGUGGAUUUGGAGUACUUGCAAAUGAGGAUACUACUGGCCCUCUAAAUGGAUACAUUGUCCAAUGUCCCAUCAACCAGAGGAAUGAUGGAGCAGUUAGUACUAUCAGUGAUAACAU
rnacentral:misc_RNA from 1 species